GGAUGAGAAGGCAACCUGGCUAUGACAUCUGUCAUGCCACUGAUUGCUAGGGUUGAUGGAUGUCUCUGUCCUCAUCACUCCACAUGCUUUCCUCUUGAAGCUGUGCACUCAGUUGAAGAGGACAGCCAUCCUUAACAGAGGAGAGCUCAUUUGCGGUCAAGGGUAUAUGAGUAGCUGUGCUCCACUUCUAGGACUUCCAAACAAGCUCUCAAAAUAUAAGACAUUUAUUUAUUCUACCUGUUUAAUGCUUUGUUAACUGUU
rnacentral:snRNA from 1 species